rnacentral:lncRNA from 1 species
GAUCUGACUGAUAUCAAGUGGAGAAAAGGAAAAUUAUUAGUUUCAAACAGCAAAUCAGUUAGACCAGAAUUUAUUCAAAAAUUUCAUCUGAAUGCCACCGAUAGCUCCUUAAUUAUUAAAAACCUAACUAUGAAUGACAGCGACCAUUAUCGAGCUGAAGCUGGAGAAUGGGAGAAGACAAUCUUGGACUAUCAUCUAAUAGUUGAAAAUGUGAUUAAGGUGGAGAUUAAGAGUGAACAGACUUGGAAAGCAGCUACAAACAGCUGUGAUGUUUCUCUUCUGUGUCGAGCGUCUGAAGAUCAGACAGUGUCCUACAGAUGGAGGGGUUUUAAGGAGGAGGAUGGAGCUCAGCUGAAUUUCACUCUCACACCAGAAGAUGGAGACGUUACUCUGAACUGCACUGCAAUUGGCAGAUUUGUGCAAGGCUCUAACACGACCACAGUGAAAUGUACUCCAGAAGAGACUCCUACAGGUAAUCUCACUUAGUGAGACUACAGUUAUACUGUGAUAAUAAUAUUAAGUGGUUUGAGCAUAACUGCUCCUACACAAACUCUUAAGCACAACAAGUGAUUUAUAAUGUAGUAAUAGCUUAAAGGCUUAAAAAACACAUUACAAAGAUAUUAUUAUUUACAGGAGCUCCAUUCUCAGUGCUCCAUCUGCUCAGUUUUUUAACGGCAGCGUCUCCAUAUCUGCUGUCCACCAUCAUACUGGGGGUGAAAAGCUACAGAGCUCGAGGUGAGAUCUCUUAGUCUUCCUUUAUAUCCUUAAUAAUUAACACACUUUAAGCCUCAUUGAGAUGCAGAUUUCUAUAUUACACUGAAACUGAACAUAACACUUAAAUAUAUGUUCAUUAUUGUGUGUUUUACAGCUGAAGCUGAUGAUGUGAACAUGGUGUGUGAAGUGAGAGAAGCUGAAGAAUGAUGAUAAAUGACUUCAGCCACCAUGAAAGGUGUAAAUGAAGGAAAGAAAUUUCAUUUUAAUUCAAUUAGCAAAAAAAAAUAUGUAAAAAAAAAAUAAUAAACAGCUUGUUUUGUGCUUUUUUUGUUUCUGU